GGGAUGCAGAGGAUGAAAUUCUAAACUGUUGCAAUAGAGAUUCACGGAAUAGAGUAACCUUCUCUUUGAAUUCACGAAAGGAGUGGAACUCAGAUGCAAAAAUGGGAACGUAUUGUUGCUGUUGCUGUUCUCGGGAAUAGAGGAGCAACGAGCUCCGGCACUGAGCUACGAUGGAUUUUGGGAAACGAGAUGAAAUUCUACCAACCAACAUUUCCAAAUUCACAGUUUGAGCUCAGAUUUGGAGAAACGGAGAAGUGAGAGAUAUGGAGAAAGAGGUGAAUAGUAGUGUUCAG
rnacentral:misc_RNA from 1 species